rnacentral:rRNA from 1 species
UACGGAGGGUGCGAGCGUUGUUCGGAAUCACUGGGCUUAAAGGGCGUGUAGGCGGGACGGAGGGUGUCACAGUGAAAUCCCUCGGCUCAACCGAGGAAUUGCUUGGCAAACCGCCGUUCUUGAGGCAGGUAGAGGCAACUGGAACCAUGGGUGGAGCGGUGAAAUGCGUAGAUAUCCAUGGGAACGCCGGUGGCGAAAGCGGGUUGCUGGGCCUGUCCUGACGCUGAGACGCGAAAGCGUAGGUAGCAAACGGG